AAACCCCAUAAACUACACGUACAUUCACAAGUAUUAAAAACUUCAAAAUCAAAACCCGUACCUCAAUUUCAAUCAAUCCACGAAAGUUUAUCACGUUGUUACACAACGCUCAUAAGCACAAUCUACAAACAAAAUAAUCAGAUAAUACACCGCUCAACUCGAUUCUAUAAAUGACUAUAGAUGAUUAAAUACUAAUUAUUCUUCACAAGAGCCUAAUUAACUCAAUUGAUUACAACAUAU
rnacentral:lncRNA from 1 species